rnacentral:rRNA from 1 species
ACUCCUACGGGAGGCAGCAGUGGGGAAUAUUGCACAAUGGGCGCAAGCCUGAUGCAGCCAUGCCGCGUGUAUGAAGAAGGCCUUCGGGUUGUAAAGUACUUUCAGCAGUGAGGAAGGUGGGUAGUGUUAAUAGCAUACUCAUUUGUACGUUAGCUGCAGAAGAAGCACCGGCUAACUCCGUGCCAGCAGCCGCGGUAAGUACGGAGGGUGCGAGCGUUAAUCGGAAUUACUGGGCGUAAAGCGCAUGCUAGGUGGUUUGUUAAGUUCAGAUGUGAAAGCCCGGGCUCAACUCGGAAUUGCAUUUGAAACUAGGCAAACUAGAGUACUGGUAGAGGGGGUUAGAAUUUCG